rnacentral:rRNA from 1 species
GGGUGCGAUCAUACCAGCACUAAUGCACCGGAUCCCAUCAGAACUUCGAAGUUAAACGUGCUUGGGCGAGAGUGGUACUAAGAUGGGUGACCUCUUGGGAAGUUCUCGUGUUGCACCCC